GAUCAUGGCUCAGGAUGAACGCUGGCGGCGUGCUUAACACAUGCAAGUCGAACGAAGCACUUCAUAAAGUUUACUUUAAGAAGUGACUUAGUGGCGGACGGGUGAGUAACGCGUGGGUAACCUGCCUUACACAGGGGGAUAACAGUUAGAAAUGACUGCUAAUACCGCAUAACCCGCUAGGGCCGCAUGGCCCGGACGGAAAAGGAGUAAUCCGGUAUGAGAUGGACCCGCGUCUGAUUAGCUGGUUGGUGGGG
rnacentral:rRNA from 1 species